rnacentral:ncRNA from 1 species
AAACAAGCUCUUAUGAUACAAAGAGCUAUGGACACGCAGUUAACAAUAAUAGGUGGCGCAGCUCCUCUUACCUAACGGGUUGCGAUAAAUACCUCUCUAAUUGUCUGGAAACCUAAGUCGAAAGAUAAGGCAAUCAGCAGCGAAGCUCGAAAGAGAACGUUCAGAGACUAUCGACGGCACGUAUUAUUACGGAAGCUUGUAGAGUAGGAGUCAAGCGACUUCGAAACGGGAGGCUACUGAAAAGUAGAAGAUAUAGUCCGAUCCUGUAGGAAACUAUAGA